AAAGUGAUUAUUUCGUUUAUCCAUACUGGAAGUUUGCAUUUUGCGGAGCGUGUGAGAUUCUCUGAAUUAUAUCUGUGAUUUACUGUGAUUUUCCGUGAUUCUCUGUGAUUGGGAAUGAUUUUAGAAUCAGGACGCGGAUGCUCCCACUGAAAUUGAUUUAGAACCCGAGGAUGAAUCUCACGAGCCCCCUCCGGCAAUGAGACCUAAUAUUGAUGGUCUUAAAUCUAACAUCAAUUCUGUAAAAGCACAACAGCUAAGCCCUCUCAAUCACAGAAGAUCGCAAAACCCGUUGCUGUUAGAUGUUUAAUUCGUUCUCCACCAGUUUUCCAGCAAUCACCCUUAUUUCCUGACCUUGCUUUGGAGUCCUGGGAGUAAGUGGAUACCUGAUAUGGCCUUCACUAGGACUACCAUUUUUAAAAAGUAAAGACUCGCUAUUUUCAAUAACUGAAACACAAGGAACAUGGAUAGUGGCAAUGUACUUAAUAGGAGAUGUCCUUGGAUCCUUGCUUUAGCCUUUGAUUAUUGACCGGAUUGUCGAAAAUAUUCUACACUAGUAUCUGUCAUCGUGGGACUAAUAGGCUGGAUUAUAAUUAACGUUGCCUAAAUUAAGUGGACCUCUAUGUAGCUAAACUGUUGGGAUCAAUUUCCCAAGGAAGGCUUUAUAGUUCCUUGAUAAUUUACUUAGCUGAAAUUGCGAAAAAUAAUAUCCGAGGAAUCUCCAUGAACAUUAUGCAACUGGCAGAAAAUUGAUGCCUC